rnacentral:rRNA from 1 species
AUACGGAGGGGGCUAGCGUUGUUCGGAAUUACUGGGCGUAAAGGGCGCGUAGGCGGAUUGUCAAGUCAGAGGUGAAAGCCCUGGGCUCAACCUGGGAACUGCCUUUGAAACUAACGGUCUAGAGUCCGAGAGAGGAUGGCGGAAUUCCCAGUGUAGAGGUGAAAUUCGUAGAUAUUGGGAAGAACACCAGUGGCGAAGGCGGCCAGCUGGCUCGGUACUGACGCUGAGGCGCGAAAGCGUGGGGAGCAAACAGGAUUAGAAACCCGGGUAGUCC